AAUAUCUUAUCUUGCAUCAGGUACUCUAUAUCAAAGUGCCAAGACAUAUGAUUUUAAGUCAGUUGCAGAAAUGCUUGCAGUUAAGAAGACUUCAGAAACAUUAAAUCAAUCCAAUGAAGGCAUCACUGGAUACUAUAAAUUGGAUUUGUCUAAGAAUUUUAAACUAAUGACUCCUAUUUGUGAGGAAGCUUCCAACACUGAAAAACUAAGGAGUUAUAUUCAGGAUGAAAAUUCAAGGCAUGCAAAAGUAGUGAAAGAGGCAAAACUUAAGAUUGCUGCAGCUAAGGAAAAGUGCCGGCAAAAGAAGGAGAAUUGUCCGAUUAAGUUAUGCCACAAAUGCCUUUUGAGUAGGUCAGUUCAGCAUUAUAAAUCUUGGAUUAUUUAUUUAUUUAUUUAUUUUAAAUGUUUGUAUUUUUCAUAGAAGUGUGAUAUGCUUAGUACCACUGUUGAGGAAUAAAUCUCAAGUAGGUUACUGCUAUAU